CACGAACCGUACGAACGUUAUUCGGAAUUACUGGGCUUAAAGGGUGCGUAGGCGGCCCGGAAAGUUGGGUGUGAAAGCCCUCGGCUCAACCGAGGAAUUGCGCCCAAAACUGCCGGGCUUGAGGAAGACAGAGGUGAGUGGAACUUAGGGUGGAGCGGUGAAAUGCGUUGAUAUCCUAAGGAACACCAGUGGCGAAAGCGACUCACUGGGUCUUUUCUGACGCUGAGGCACGAAAGCCAGGGGAGCGAACGGG
rnacentral:rRNA from 1 species